rnacentral:rRNA from 1 species
GAUGAACGCUGGCGGCGUGCUUAACACAUGCAAGUCGAACGGACAAGAUGAAGCCUAGCGAUUCUUGUUAGUGGCGGACGGGUGAGUAACGCGUGGGUAACCUGCCCUGUACACACGGAUAACAUACCGAAAGGUAUGCUAAUACGAGAUAAUAUGCUUUUAUCGCAUGGUAGAAGUAUCAAAGCUUUUGCGGUACAGGAUGGACCCGCGUCUGAUUAGCUAGUUGGUGAGGUAACGGCUCACCAAGUCGACGAUCAGUAGCCGGACUGAGAGGUUGAACGGCCACAUUGGAACUGAGAUACGGUCCAGACUCCUACGGGAGGCAGCAGUGGGGAAUAUUGGGCAAUGGGCGAAAGCCUGACCCAGCGACGCCGCGUGAGGGAAGAAGGUCUUCGGAUUGUAAACCUUUGUUGAUAGGGACGAAGAGAUGACGGUACCUAUCGAGGAAGCCACGGCUAACUACGUG